rnacentral:misc_RNA from 1 species
CGCUAGUGUCAUCUACAGUGUAAAUGUGUGUUUGCAAAAUUAUAUUAAAAUUAUAAAUUUUCUCGGCCAUUAGUUAUUCUAUGUACGUGGAAUUAGUCUGGGCUUUAUUAACGUUCAAUUUUUUUUUAUCAUUCAUCUAUUUUUUCGUCAAAGUUAAAUAAGAGAUCAAUUGUUCCUUUGACAAUCGUUUGGUGUUCUCAUCGACGUUUUGAAGCUUUCCCUUAACAUUGGAAGUGUUGAAUCAUAUUUGGAAAUAUGGCUGCUGCUGCUGCUGCUGCGUUACUCGACGAGCUUAUGGGAAGAAACAGAAAUGUUCUUCCUAACGAAAAACCUAAAGAACUUAAUUGGGAGGAUCCUGAGUUUUGCAAAUUAUAUUUGGUUAAAUUCUGUCCUCACGAUUUAUUCGUUAACACACGAGCUGAUCUUGGAGCUUGUUCUCGAGUUCACGAUGAUGAAGCUAGAGACCUUUUUGAGAAAGCGCCAUAUUCCUAUCGUAAACAACAAUAUGAAGAUGAAUUUAUUAGAUUUUGUCAAAGUAUGCUCAACGAGGUUGAAAGGAAAAUUGUAAAAGGCAAACAACGUCUUGCUCUUAUCGGAAGAACUGAAGCACCUACUCUGACUCCUGCACAAACUCAAAGAAAUGAAGAACAAAUAGCUCUGCUAACGGAGAAGAUUAACAAAUUAGUCGAAGAAGCUGAACAAAGUGGGAUUCAAGGAAAUGUUGAACAAGCUCAAGGCCUAAUGAGACUUUGUGACCAAUUAAAAGAAGAACGAGAAGCCCUUAGAAAGUCCAAUGACAAUAGUCAUUAUAAUCAAACCGCUGAAUUAGCUGCUGCUCAAGAAAAACAGAUGGAAGUUUGCGACGUGUGCGGUGCUUUUCUCAUUGUCGGAGAUGCUCAACAACGAAUCGAUGAUCACUUGAUGGGUAAACAACAUGUUGGUUAUGCCAGAUUAAAAAUUGCUCUUCAAGAAAUUAUGAGUAAACGUGAUAAAGCACGAGACGAAAAAGAGCAGAAAAGAGAAGAAGAAAGAAAGCAGAGAGCACGUGCUAAUGAAGAACUCGACAGACGAAGGAGAGAAAGUGACAGAGAUAGAGAUAGAGAAAGAGAUAAACGUCGUAGACGUACAGAUGAUGACAAGGGUAGACAUGACUCUGGGAGUCAUAGAAAUUCUGGACAUAGAAGUAGGAGCAGGUCUAGAGAGAAACAUGAUCGACAUCGCGAUGACGAUAAUCAUCGACGUCAUGCUCGCGAUAAAGGAAAUCGGGAUCAUCGAAGCUCGAGUCAUCAUAAUCGUCGUCGCCAUCGAUCUCGAAGUCGAAGUCACAAGUAACUACUCUUGAUUGGUUCUUUACCAGAAUUUAACAUAAUGAGGUUAACAACAGCUACAAUAAGGGAAUUAUGUUAAUCGUUUGAAAAAUGAAGACAGGACAAUGGAAUUUAACCAGUUCGAAGGAUCCACGUGCACUCCGCUUUAUGUAUUAUUAAGGUAAAGAUUUUGCAUAAUCUUCACAUUGAAAAUUUAUAAAUUUUAUACAUAUAUAUAUGUAUAUAUAUAUAUAUAUGUAUAUAUAUAAUUUUAUUUAUAUUUAUAUAUAUAUAUAGAUAUAGAUAUAUAUUCAAAAAAUGAAUCUUUAAUAAUUGAUACAAAUCGGCCUUUAAUAUGUGUAUGUUAUUUAAUUGCCAUUUUAUUUAAAUCUUAAAAUAAUUGUUAUUUUAUUAUACAUACCUAUUAAAACAAGGUUAACAUGUCCAUAGAUUGCGUUGUAAUACUCGUAAUUAUUGUUAUUUGAAAUUAAUAAAAUGAUCCUGAUGAUAAA